UCUCGGCUUAUCACCGGCAGUCCCCCUAGAGUGCCCAACUGAAUGAUGGCAACUAAGGGCGAGGGUUGCGCUCGUUGCGGGACUUAACCCAACAUCUCACGACACGAGCUGACGACAACCAUGCACCACCUGUGAACCGGCCCCAAAAGGAGAAGCCCCAUCUCUGAGGCGGCAGGGUGUAUGUCAAACCCAGGUAAGGUUCUUCGCGUUGCAUCGAAUUAAUCCACAUGCUCCGCCGCUUGUGCGGGCCCCCGUCAAUUCCUUUGAGUUUUAGCCUUGCGGCCGUACUCCCCAGGCGGGGCGCUUAAUGCGUUAGCUGCGGCACGGAACCCGUGGAAUGGAUCCCACACCUAGCGCCCAACGUUUACGGUGUGGACUAC
rnacentral:misc_RNA from 1 species